rnacentral:ncRNA from 1 species
GUUGCUUAGGUCUGUGGUUGAAAGUCGAUGCCAGUCGCAGGCGAAACGAUCCACGUAAGGAAUUCAAAGAAUUCUGAUCAUGGUGCGGCUUAGAGAUAAGACCUGCCGGCUUUAAGUAAUUAAAGUACAUAAUAGCCGAGAGUGUUAGUAGUGAGGGUUUAAUUUCUAUUAGCGAAACCUCCAGCAGGCGAGUGUGGGGUCAAAGACCAGGUCAGCUGAGCAAU